rnacentral:tRNA from 1 species
UCCCGGUUGGUGCAAUGGGUAGCACAACGGACCUUGGUUCCGUUGAUCCAGGUUCGAGUCCUGGACCGGGAGCGA